rnacentral:lncRNA from 1 species
GUUCUGAGCUGCUGGAUGGUCAAAUAAGUAGAGCUGCUGGGUCUAUUGGCAGUUUUUGAAAAUUAGAGAGCAAACAUUAGCAAUUCUUUUGGGUUCUGUGAAUCAUCCUAGGAGUUGCCUUUCUGACUGUUUUUGCUUUCUGUGUGUCAGGGUAAGGCUGGUGCCCCAGAUGCUUGCAUGUGUGGAGACUCCAAUUUACACUUGUUGCCUACCUCAUGCCCACUGUCCUUGGAGGACCUGACGUGCAAGGCCUUUCAGCUGUGGUGCUGUAUCCUGGGUAAUUCCAUUUUGCAUACCAAAAAAGAAGAAAAAGAGAGAGAGAGAGAGAGAGAGAGAGAGAACGAAGAAAGAAUAAUCUUGUGAGAGUGAAAAAUCUACAGAAAAAGACCCA